ACAUGGAUGAUAGCAAGUUAAAUUUUAUAGAAUUGUAAAUAAUGAAAAGCAGUAUCUUUCCAUCCUAGGUCCCUUAGUUCCUUUACUCCCUCCACAAAGACAGAUGUCUUACAGUUUCCUAUUAUUUCUUCUCAGAAUUGUAUUUGUAAAAUGUGUAAAUAUCUCUCCCCUUUAUUUCCUUUAACCAAAAUGGAAGCAUAUUUUCUUCACCUUCUCUAUAUAACUAUUUUGCCAUCUUAAGGACUUUUACAAGCUGCGUAAUAUGUCUUAUUAUGGAUGUACCUUGUUUUAUUUAAACAAUUAUUGGUAGUGGAUAUUUGGAUGUUUCUAGUAUUUCUUUUCUCACAAACAAAAUGGUAAAUAUGCCUUUGCUCAUAUUCACCAUUGACCAUUGUUGAGUAUAUCAUUAGGAACGACAUAUUUAAAAUACUUUGUGAAGGCAUACAAAUAAUAUGAAUAUUUUGUUUUAUUUCAAAGUGUUUUUUUUCCCAAAGUGAUGGCUGGGGUCUCAGAAGUUUGUGGUAUGAGUUUUGGGAACACUAGACGCUUCAAAUGAGGCAUGAGGUGCUAGAUACUACCCAGCAGGUUGCAUGGGAAAAAAAAGCUGGCUGUGGACUCUGAGAAAAGUAAAAAUGACAUUUAAAUAUUAAAAAUGGAGAAACUCAGCUGCAGCUCCUUCUUUAACCUUAAAUUGCACCUGGGCACCUGUAAUUCCAGUGAUUUGGGAGGAUUCCAAGUUCAAGGCCAGCCUCAGCAUCUUAGCAAGACCCUGUCUCAAAAAAAAAAAAUAAAUAAAUAAAAAGAACUGGAGAUGUAGCUCAGUUUUAUAGCACCCCUGGGUUCAAUCUCCAAUACCAAAAGUAAAUAAAAGAUAAUCAUAUUGGAGGUACUAUAAAUUACUUAUGCCUGAUUCUUCUGCCUCCUCAUUUCCCACUAAAAAUUAGAUUAAUGUCUUGUUUGGAAUGCUUUGCACAGCUAUAUGAUUAGAAUGAUUUUAAUAAAUAGGGUCACAUUUAAGGAGGUUUUCUAAGGGAAAUGAAGACUCGUGUGAUACACAAACAUGCUUUAUGUGAUAUUUAGGAUUUUCCUGUAAAGAUAUUGUGUUUUUUUGUUUGUUUGUUUGUUUUUUUAAAGAGAGAGAGAGAGAUGGAGAGAGAGAGAGUUUUUUAAUAUUUAGUUUUUAGUUUUCGGCGGACACAACAUCUUUGUUUGUGGUGCUGAGGAUCGAACCUGGGCCGCACGCAUGCCAGGUGAGCGCGCUACCGCUUGAGUCACAUCCCCCACCCCAAGAUACUGUUUUUUGAGAAGAGUUUUUAAGUUAUAUAAUUGAAGCACAUUAAGUUUGGUGAUGCAAUUUGAGAAAUUAAUGUACUUUCUUAUGAAAAGGAACCUACCUAGAAAGUACUCUAUUUCUCCUAAGAUCUGGGGUCAAAGGAGAGAUUUUGAAACAUAACAACAAUGGCUUCUAUUUAUUGAAAGGAAUUCUUUUAUUUCUUACAGGGCCCCUUCCAGGGAGAUUUUAUAUUUUGAGAUACAGGCUUUUGACUUUUCUACAAAUGUUUUCUCUAAGGCUCCCCUGCUAGUUUUUAGCUGUAGCAUUCUUCUAGUAGUACAGUUGUUUUAUGAGUUAGAAACCUGGCAGUAUUCCUUUAACAUUAUCUCCUUGUUGUGCAUCCUCCCACAUCCCAUUCUGUAUCUCAGGAGGUUUGUACCAUCCUCUAAGUUUCUUAAGAAUUCAUUAUUUUUCCCCCCAUUUCUUUUACCCUCUUUCUGGUUCAGGUGAACUGGUUUCAUCUCAUUUGCACUCUUUUAUCUCCCCUGGAUUCUCCCAAUUCAUUCUCUGCUCAUUAGCUAACAUGAAUUAUUUAAAUGUCCAUUCUGAUCAUGCUGUUCUUUGCUCAAAACUCUCUAGUGCCUUCCCAAUGUCCUUACAAUAAAAUCCCUCAUAUGGCCUUUGUGGAUCUACACCACUAGACUCCAACUUUUUCACCUAUUGAAACAAACCCUUUCCUCCUUUUCUUUUUCCAGUCACACUUCUCUUUCUGUGCUACAAACUGGCCAAGCUUCUUCCAUCCUCAGGGCCUUUGCACAAAUUCUUCCUUUGCCUUAGAAAUCUUCCCUAACCUGCACAUCCCUUUUCCAAGCUAAUGCCUUAUCCUUUAGGUCUCAUUUAAAAUAUCCAGGGAAAAUUUCCCUAUUCAAACAAGUUAGAGACUGGUCCCCUGUUAUUUACUCUUAUUUGCUAUUUUGUUUCUUUUUCUUAGUAUUUACUACAAUCCUAAUGGUACAGUUGUGUUUCUUUUUUAUUUUUUUCUAUUAUUGGCAUAGGUAAUACAUACAUAUAAAAUGAAAUUCAAAUUGUACAAAAGGUAGAGUGAAAAUUCUCCUGUUCCCUGUACCUUUGGUGCCCAGUUCUCCUCCCUAAAAGUAACAUUUAGUAUUUUGACUCUCCUUCCAGAAAUAUUUUCCGAGUAUACAAGCAAUUAUGUACAUAAUAUUUCUCUUUUUUUAAAAAAUUAAAGAUAGUAUAUGCAUUUUUCUGCACUUUGUCUUUGUUAAUUAUGUAUCCUGGCAAUUCUUCUAUAUCAAUAUGUAAAUAGUUGCCUCUUUAUUUUUCAUGUGCCAUAUAGUAUGGAAUUAUAAUUUAUUUAACUUCUAUUGUUGGACAUUUAGGUUGCUUUCAAGCUUUGGUUUAUUGUAAACAAUGCUGCAUCAUAUACCUUUGUAUGUAAUUUCCCUCAUCUAUACCUAUAGAAUAAAU
rnacentral:lncRNA from 1 species